rnacentral:lncRNA from 1 species
GGUGGUUUAUUCAUUUUCUAAUUCGAUCGAGACUGAAAAAAUUUAAAGGACUGCGCAUAUGCAAUGACGUAAAAUGGUGUAAUGACAUGACGUGCUUUUCCCGUUUUGAAUGCAGUGUUGUAAAAAUGAGUGUCCUGUCAUUAUAAAAUUCUCCUUUCAAGUGUAGUCCCUUUUUCUGUUUCUCAUCCAUAUAUAUUUGGUUUUGGGGACGGGGACGGGUGCUUUUACUGCGUGAUAAAUAUAAGCAGCACGUCACGGCUGUUUAUACGUAACAUUUAUCCAGAAAUAGAUAAAAAUUAAGUCUGCUAGUUAAAAAAAAAACAAAAAAAAACAAAAGUAGUAGACAGAGUGGUUAGUUAGUGCACAAACUAACAAGNNNNNNNNNNNNNNNNNNNNNNNNNNNNNNNNNNNNNNNNNNCUUUUUUUCUCUUUUCUUACGUUUGUCCGUCGUCCCCACCACUGCUCCCACCUUCCUUUCCUCCCUUUCCUCCCUGGUGUUGUACCUGCGGCGGCUGCAGCACUCUGCCUUAUUUCUCUCUCCCGCUCACCUCAGUCGGCCGAGGCAUGGCGUCUCCUCUGUCACUCCAGCCUGGCCCUUCUCAUCCUUUACAAUCGCCGUCGUGAAUGUGAAGUCUCCAAACUGACAAUCUCAGAGUACCAGGCCCGAGUCGCACCCCAGUGCCCCAUCCCUGUGCAACCUGGUGCCCCGUUAACUCUAACCCCACUGGAGGCUUCGCUCUCACCCUUCGAGCGGCUGGUCCUCCCUCAUCUCCCUCGUGUCGGGGUCCAAGGGAAGCGUGGCCGCGUACAGCCGCUCAUCCUCCCCCCACACUCAGAAGCCUGUCUGGAGAUGCUUUUGCAGACUCGUGCCGGUGUGGGAAUCGAUCCACAGAACCCCUAUGUGUUUGCCAGGCCGUAUCAUUCGCCAGCUACUCCCCUGCGAGGAACAGACUUACUACGUGGUUUGGCUCGGUCCAGUGGUUCACGGCACCCCCGGGCACUGACGCAGACAUGCGUUCGCAGACAGGUGGCGAUACUUACGCAGCUGCUGUUAUUAAGUGAGGGUGAGGAGGAAGGACAGCAUGGGGCUGCCAUACAGCGAUUGGAAAGCUUCUUGCAGAAGGAGUAUCACGUGACUCAAAGCUGUGCAACCAUCGGCCAGGACCCUGGGCUGAUGGGUCUAAUCGGUCGGGUGGUACUGUGCGGAGAGAGAGAUGGUGUCUUGUUCCGAGGAAUGAGUUUACAUCACAUCUGUCUGGAGUUAGAUGUGUUGUCAGGAAACUCUGCCGACUCGCUGUCAGAGGACUCAGAUGUUGAGCAGAGCAAAGAGAAACCAGAAGCAGCAUCUCCUGCAACCACCAUUGUGAUGAAAAAAACCACAAGCAACAACAAAUCUCCCCGGCCCAAGAAGAUGAACAGCAGCUCCCUGCUCUCAGGGGGACGAAAAAAGGCCUCAGGACAGCCCAAACCUGGUAAACGUGGUGUGCUGAAGCGGCCUUGGUCUGAGGCGGAGCGGGCAGCUGUUGAGUCCCACCUGGUGCAAAACAUCAUGGAGCUGCGAGUGCCGGCUAAAGCGGACUGUGAGCGCUGCCUGGAGCUCUGCCCCCUGCUGGUCACCAACCACCGGGACUGGAGGGCUGUGAAAUUCUACUGCCACAACCGUAUACAGCUGCUCAAGAAAACCCAGCAGAGACAGGGUCCACCCGUCCUGUCCGUCUGCUGAGGCUGUGAAUCAGCACGCUGCUGGGAAUGGAGGAGAUGUGAGGGAAAUAUUGACAUGGUACAGUCACAGUAAACACAGUACAAAUUCUUUAAUUAAUAUGAUGUUGUGUGUGAUUUGUGUCCGGUGUGUAAAACGGAAAAUGGAACCACUCUGGGAAGCAGACGGAAAUGCGCACUUGUUGUGUACUUUUCCAACUAUGACGAAAGAACACUACUUUUUCUGUCUGCAGAUGACCAGAAGUUUUUCUGUUGCUGGCUUAAAAGUAGAUGACCAUUUUAGACCAGCCGUAAGUCUGAAUGGCUUCGCUCUCUCCCUUUGGCCAUGCCUCUAUCUCUCCACGGACAGAGAAACAGGCAGACUGAGCAACUUGUGCCUUGAUGGGAGUCAAACCUCAGUUUCAUUCACAUUUGUGAACGUUUUACUGUUAUUUACAAAUUUCAUCAUUUUUCAUGAAAUGAAGGAAUAUGCAUAAGAAAUGGGAUUUAAGAAGGUGAAUUUUUGCCUACCAUCUUUGCUCAUUAAAAUGGUUUAAAAAGUCCCUUUGAAAACCAACCUGAAUUAAAACAUUUUAUUUAAAGUUUUUUUUCCCCGUUUUUUGGGAAUUCCUUACUUUUGUUCCUACCAUUUUAAGCCUUAUGUGAUUUUAAUGAAAUAGUUCUGUUCUCAUUUACAGUAUUCUUGUUGUCAAACCAGUAUGACUGUCCUUGUUCAGUGGAACACUCAGUAGAAAUUUGAAUGAUUUUUGAAUGCACUUGUCUUUUGCAAUUCUGAAUGCAAAUAAAUAUAUCAUAAAGGCAUCAAUCUAGUGCACAGAUUCAUAUGGAUGACAUCUAUGGCAUUUUUUGAUGUUUGUGCAUUAUUAAUCGUAAUUACAAGAACAAAAAUUACCAGAACAUUCUUCAGAAUUACUACUUUUUGUUCCAUGGAAGAAAGUCAUACAGGUUUGAAAGAACAUAUGAGGGACGAUUUAUUUUUGGGUUCUUUUCAUUAAGUUAGCUGUUUGGUACUGUAGCUUGUUCAGCAUUGAAAAAUAAUCAACUAUCUGUCCUGUGCUGUCAAAAAUGGACAUGAAUGAGUGAGCAGAUGAGUUUAGUUCACUUGUUUGCAUUGUAUUCAUCCAUCAAUUCCAUAUGGAAAUUUAAACUGUGUAUUGGAAACACAUGAUAACCACACGUAACACCUCAGUUUAUACUUUUUUAUAUAUCUAUCUACUUUGCUGUUUUGUUAUCCUUUGUUCUUUCAAACUUUGCAAAGUAUAUAUGUACACAAACAUAUAUAUAUAUUGUUGUUACUGUUAACAGUGGUAUUGUUAUUACUAUUAAAUCUUACUGUGGUGUUUUUUUUCCAUUUCCACUUCAUGUACAUACUGAAUGUAAAUAUUUGCAGAAAAAAAGAGCACGAUGUAAAUAUACCGUAGACAAGACAAGCUUGUUUUUGUGUUGUCUGUGUGUGUUUUUUUUAAGUUGUCUGAAAUUAUAAUAAUAAAAAAUGUUUUGGUUGUAAUUCUAGACUUGGUCUUGUUUGUGAUGCUCUUAUAGAAAAUGCAGAAUAACAGCAAAAAAUCCUUACAAUUCUGUCCAAAGAUUUCAAUCUAGCGAUGUUCUGCACUGUAUUAAU